rnacentral:rRNA from 1 species
UACGGAGGGGGCUAGCGUUGUUCGGAAUUACUGGGCGUAAAGCGCGCGUAGGCGGACCUGCAAGUCGGGGGGUGAAAGCCCGAGGCUCAACCUCGGAACUGCCUUCGAUACUGCGGGUCUCGAGUCCGGGAGAGGUGAGUGGAAUUCCUAGUGUAGAGGUGAAAUUCGUAGAUAUUAGGAAGAACACCAGUGGCGAAGGCGGC